GUGGGGAAUAUUGCACAAUGGGCGCAAGCCUGAUGCAGCCAUGCCGCGUGUGUGAAGAAGGCCUUCGGGUUGUAAAGCACUUUCAGCGGGGAGGAAGGCGAUAAGGUUAAUAACCUUGUCGAUUGACGUUACCCGCAGAAGAAGCACCGGCUAACUCCGUGCCAGCAGCCGCGGGAAUACGGAGGGUGCAAGCGUUAAUCGGAAUUACUGGGCGUAAAGCGCACGCAGGCGGUCUGUCAAGUCGGAUGUGAAAUCCCCGGGCUCAACCUGGGAACUGCAUUCGAAACUGGCAGGCUAGAGUCUUGUAGAGGGGGGUAGAAUUCCAGGUGUAGCGGUGAAAUGCGUAGAGAUCUGGAGGAAUACCGGUGGCGAAGGCGGCCCCCUGGACAAAGACUGACGCUCAGGUGCGAAAGCGUGGGGAGCAAACAGGAUUAGAAACCCCAGUAGUCC
rnacentral:rRNA from 1 species